UACAGAGGUCUCAAGCGUUGUUCGGAUUCAUUGGGCGUAAAGGGUGCGUAGGCGGCGCGGUAAGUCGGGUGUGAAAUCUCGGAGCUUAACUCCGAAACUGCAUUCGAUACUGCCGUGCUUGAGGACUGGAGAGGAGACUGGAAUUUACGGUGUAGCGGUGAAAUGCGUAGAUAUCGUAAGGAAGACCAGUGGCGAAGGCGGGUCUCUGGACAGUUCCUGACGCUGAGGCACGAAGGCCAGGGGAGUAAACGGG
rnacentral:rRNA from 1 species